rnacentral:rRNA from 1 species
AUACGGAGGGUGCAAGCGUUAAUCGGAAUUACUGGGCGUAAAGCGCGCGUAGGCGGAUAUUUAAGUCUCAUGUGAAAGCCCUGGGCUCAACCUGGGAACUGCAUGGGAUACUGGGUAUCUAGAAUACAGUAGAGGGUAGUGGAAUUUCAGGUGUAGCGGUGAAACGCGUAGAGAUCUGAAGGAACAUCAGUGGCGAAGGCGACUACCUGGACUGAUAUUGACGCUGAGGUGCGAAAGCGUGGGGAGCAAACGGGAUUAGAUACCCUAGUAGUCC